rnacentral:tRNA from 1 species
GCUGGCUUAGAUCAAUGGUAGAUCGUCUCCCUCCUACGUGCUUUGGACGUCGAGGAGAAGGCUGCGGGUUCGAGUCCCGUGGUCAGUG